AGUACCACCAUACACAGCUUUUG
rnacentral:miRNA from 1 species